rnacentral:rRNA from 1 species
GACAGAGGAUGCAAGCGUUAUCCGGAAUGAUUGGGCGUAAAGCGUCUGUAGGUGGCUUUUUAAGUCUGCCGUCAAAUCCCAGGGCUUAACCCUGGACAGGCGGUGGAAACUACCAAGCUGGAGUACGGUAGGGGCAGGGGGAAUUUCCGGUGGAGCGGUGAAAUGCGUAGAUAUCAAGAGGAACACCUGAGGUGAAGACGGGUUGCUGGGCUGACACUGACGCUGAGGCGCGAAAGCCAGGGGAGCAAACGGG